UACACACCGCCCGUCACACCACGAAAGCUGGUCCCACCAGAAGUCGAUGUGCCAACCGCAAGGAGGUAGUCGCCCAAGGUGGAAUCGGUGAUUGGGGUG
rnacentral:rRNA from 1 species